GCUGCGGGUUGGGUUUAAUCUCGGUCAGGCGAAGUGCACCCGGCUUUCCCGCGGCGAGCUGUGCGCCGCCCGGGGGACGGUUCUCCUGCCACUCUGCCCCGCCACUGAGAGUUACUGGGGCCGCGCUGGACGGAGCACAGCGGGGCGCGACCGCCGCUGGGGCGGAGUCCCGAGACGGCCUAGAGGUGGCUCCUCCUGGCCUGCGGUUCCUGCCUAGCUCCUCCGCCCCCGGGAGCUGGGCCGGAGAUUUGAAUUGAUGAGUGUGCAGGUUCAAGGCUGCACCUUUCCUGGUCACCUCUAAACUGUCCAGCCUAGUGGUUUUGGCGGACAUGGCCUCCUCUCUCCUUCCUCCAUUCAGGCAGACGUGCGACAGGGGAGACAUGCUACAGAGUGGAGGCUAAAUGUUGACGAGUAUUUCCGGCUUCUUCCUAAUGACAGUAAUUUGAAUCUCAAGUAUGGAAACAGAAGGAUACGACAUCUAUCCCAUUGGAGGCUCCCUGAAGGGGCUGCCUAUUAACUCUGCCUACACGGACUCCUCGGGUACCCUUAUUCCUCGUCCUUCUGGGCCUGCCAGGUCAGAUUCUGUAAAUUCCGUAAGCUUUCCCAUAUCAUUCCAAUGAGGUCUUUUAAAGGUCAGUUUCUGUUGCUGGCGACCCAAGAACUCUGUACAAAAAAAAGUUCCUGGAAAAUGCGGGAUUCGAGUCUUGCAUGAAUAGCUGGGAAGGAUGAGAAGCUUAUUCCAGGUGAGGAAGACGUUACCCGCAGAGGCUCUCAAGAACUUUCCUUGGCCUGGCUCAAGAGGAGACUUCAAGGAAGUGUGAGAAAUCAGAUGGAAGAUGUGGGGUGGAGCUAGAGUAGGAAAGUCCUCUCCUGCUUAUCUAGAGGGUGCACAGCCUGUCUCCUACAGCAGAGGUUUUUGUGAUGUUGGACACUCGUCUGGGCCACAGUGAGAGCGGCAGAUGGAGUUAAAGCCAGCCAACAGCCGAAAGAGACGUGGGCAGGAUGGGCCAAGGAAGUGACCUGUGCUAGGAAGUUAUCAUCCACUUGGUGAGCUGAGGCAGCAAAGAGUUAGGAACAAUUACUGAAGAGAAACAAGAGCUACAGAAGGGGCAGGACAAGAGAAUGCAGUGAUUGUAGAGAAUCAAAUGGACCGUUGCGUCAGUCUGCCUGGAUUUGACUCGUAGCUCCAUCACUGACUUUAGAUGAUUGAUUUCCUUACCCUGAAGUGCUCCCUACCUCAGCUUAAUUUAGUGGCUUAUAAAAAACAAACACUCAAUAA